rnacentral:rRNA from 1 species
GAUCCUGGCUUAGGAUGAACGCUAGCGACAGGCUUAACACAUGCAAGUCGAGGGGCAGCAUGGGCAUAGCAAUAUGCCUGAUGGCGACCGGCGCACUGGUGAGUAACACGUAUGCAACCUGCCCCCUACAGGGGGAUAAUCCAGAGAAAUUUGGUCUAAUACCCCGUAGUCAGCGAGAGGGCAUCCUCUCUCUGGGAAAGCUCCGGCGGUAGGGGAUGGGCAUGCGGCGCAUUAGCUGGUUGGCGGGGCGACGGCCCACCAAGGCGACGAUGCGUAGGGGUUCUGAGAGGAAGGUCCCCCACACUGGUACUGAGACACGGACCAGACUCCUACGGGAGGCAGCAGUGAGGAAUAUUGGUCAAUGGGCGCAGGCCUGAACCAGCCAAGUCGCCGUGCGGGAAGACGGCCCUACGGGUUGUAAACCGCUUUAGCCGGGGAGUAACGUGCGCCACGCGUGGCGCAGUGAGAGUACCCGGAGAAUAAGCAUCGGCUAACUCCGUGCCAGCCGCGGC